rnacentral:lncRNA from 1 species
AAAAUUUCAUAAUUUUUAAAGCAUUAAAUUUUUUUAAACAAUUAAAAACAAACACAAAAUCAAUUAAAUUAUAAAAAAUAUUAAUAAUGAUCCAAAAAAUAAUUUUAAUUCAGAAUAUGAAAGAGGAAAUUAUUUGGUGAAACUCUCAUAUUUUUUGGAUCAAUAUUAAAAUUAAUAUGAAUUAAUGAAAAUAAAAUGAAUAAAAGAAAAUAAGAAAAAUACAAAAAAAC